AUAAUAACAAAAUAUGUCUUUAAAAUUAUCUUUAAUGUUGAAUAUUGACAGUUGUAAAUAUUAUAAUCAUGUUCUACAAAAAAAUAAACGGAAGGUGAAUAUGCAAAUUUUAUCAGGAAUGUGUACAGUGACCUAACUAAAGUUUUAUUAAGCACUGUCUGAAUUUGUCAAUAGAUAUUGGACCACAAAAAAAAAAAAUAAUGCCACUGGAAAAAAGAAGAAAGAAAGAAAAAAAGAAAAGAAAAAAAAAACCAAAUAUAAAUAGGAGCAAAUAGCACAAGAACAUGAAGUGACUCACAGUGUCGCAGGACCAUCAUGAAGAACCAGAGAAGGGCACCUGACUCCAAGAUUUUUGCCAGCUCCCUCUUCUACCCUACCUGCCCAUCCGGAGGAGCACACAGCUGCCAGUGGAUGAGAAAAACCCCAGUUCUCUUCAGUAUGCUGAACUUACCAUAGGUAGAGGUAGAGCGAAUGGAUCAAGCCAUCUGUGAAUGGUCUGGCCAAUCCAGGUUAAUGAGCAUGAAAUGGAGUCCCUUGUAGGGUUUCCUUGUGUCCUGAGAAGGUCUUGGGGCACUCCCAUCUAUGUGAGUAAGCCAGGUCUGGGUGCCAACAUCAAGAGAAGUAAGCUCAGGUCUCUGGCCCUAAAACAAGUACCUUGGUCUGAGCCAACAGAAUGUCAGGCUUCUUUCCUAUAGAAUAAUAAAUCCAAGUUCGGAAGACUCUCCAAGCCAGGGAACAUUUCUAUAUCAGAGAAAGAACUGUGGAGUUCAACAGUGCCUGCUCCACAGUCAGCUGUGACCCUUUACGUAGGCUCCUGGUACAGCCAGCAUGUCUGGCCUCCUGAAGGCACUGAGUUAUUUCUGGACUAGGAAUCCAGACCAGAGACACCUAGCAGCCGCAAAUUGACCCUCCUGCCUUGUUGCCCCCUCCUAUUUAUCUGAGAUGAGGUCAGAAACUGACAUUGUAUAUUCAUUUCUGGCCAAUCAGAACAUGUCACUACACCCUUAUUUACCAACAGACCCUGUCAGCAGACAGAGCUGACUCACUGCCAAAGACACGGUUUAAUGGAGGCAGAUAGUGAUGAACUUCACAGAGGCUGGUGUUCCGAGGGUGCGGGCAGCCACCUGUGCUAUUGUAGUGGGGAGUGCCGUCCUCCUUGUAACCUGUAAAGAGACAUCAUGUACUGCUCUGGCGUGACUAUGGUUUCUGAGCAGCUGCUGGACUUAAUUAAAUGGCCCUCCGAGGGUUUCUCUUGGAGAUGACGACCCAUGUAAAACCCCCAUCCACCUGCAAAGCAGUCCCCCUAGAUGUGCCUGCUCCUGCCUGCUCCUAGCCCUGCCUCUGUCUGGAACCCACCCAGACAUGAACAGGCUUCUAAUUGCAUGGUGGCUUGCCAGGGCCUUCCUACAUCAUUAGGAUUCAUCAACAUAAUGCCUUGGCUCCAGCCUAAGCUGCCCAGCCAAUCAUGGGCCACCUUGACCUCAGGAAGGAGGUGACUUGUGAUGUGAGCUCCUGCUGAGACCUAUGUUGCAUCACUGUCACAUGAGAAGGGGGCUCCAGAAGGACUUGCCACCAAAAGCAUGCUGAAGCCUGCCAUCAAAUAUUGAUAAAGGCAGAGGGGAGAGGACUAUGUAACUGAAUUAUCAAUGACCAGACCUGGCUCUCAGGCCCUGCAGUCAGGGAUGGGCCUACAUGGUGGGCUUGCUGUUAUUGUUGUUUUUUUUCAUGAGACUCCUUAUUUGAUUUACUGACUUGAGUUAAUUUUUUUAUUGCUUAAUUGUUUUAUUUACAUUUCACAUGUUAUCCCCCUUCCUGGUUCCUUCCCUGCACACCCCCCCCCUCACCCCCUGCAACCCUGAUGCUCACAGCCAACUAUUGAACUGAACCCAGGUCCUAAGUGAGGAGUUAGAGAAAGGACCGAAGGCUGUUUUUAAACAGGGACACUCGGGUUCAUUUUACUUUGAAACAAUUUGUGGAGCAUGUUUGUUAGAUUGGGCUCAUGAGGCAAACACCACACAGGCAUUCAAGGUCAGAGCCACUAGCUUGCCACAUGGGUGACCUGCCUUCCCAGGAGGCAAGGGUGAGACCUGAACCACAUGCUCCUAAGGCAGCCCAGGCUGGGCCUAUAGACUGCAAGCCCUAGAGGCAAUGAGGAAUGGGGAUGGGAAGCAGGUAUGUGAGACAAGAAACUUCGGGAGGUUUCUUACCUUUUCAGCUUACUGAGACCUUUGAGAAUGUUCUGAGCUUUCAGCAGCAUUGUGUUGUGUUACUUAGGGCUCUUACAUGUAUCCUUUUAUCCUACAUGCAGCCUGUGGCCACCCUGUUAGGAGACAGUUUCCUGAGUCCAGUCAUCUCAGAAACUCCUUGGAAUACCUUGCUGACAGGCUCAAAACUGAGUUUAUGUUCCUAGGCUCCAGAAGCUAACUCCGUCCUGUUCUGCUCCUUCAAGUGUUCCAGGUUUGUCUGAUGGCCAGUGGAGGAUGUAAAAAGGGAAGACAGCUGUUAUCCCUUUAUGUAAACUAAGGCACAUAAGUCAUAAGUGUGCUGCCUGUCUUGACUUAAUGUGUGUAACUUGCCCACUUCUUUGUUCCCUUAACAUUCUAAAAUUCUGGGCCAGAGUCCAGAAGGGGACCUGACAGCAAAAGCUAAAUCAAGGACCCUGAAACACGUGACCCAGAUAAGGCCAAGAAUGUCACCAAUGUUAACUUCCUUGUUAAUUUCCUUGCUUAAGCUCUUAUGUCAAAAUUGGUCAAUGCAACAGCCCACCCUUGCUUUUUGUUUCCAUUCUAUAAAAAUGUUGUACAGCUCCAUUCCGGGAUACAGUUCAGAUCAUGAAAUGUCCAACUUCAUGAGCACUCAGAAAAUAAAGCUUUCAUUUUUAAGCUUCAAAAAAAAUAGGCACUAUCAAUCACAGGUCAUUAAUAUCUCUCAAUAUAAAUCGACUAAAUUUUCUAAUUAAACACACACACACACAAACACAAGCAAAUAGAAUGGAUGUGAAAACAAGAUACACUAUUGUAGUGCAUACAAGAAGCACACAUCAGCAAUAAAGAUAGUCAUUACCUCAGAGUGCAGGGCUGAACCAAAAUUUUUCAAGCAAGCAGACCUAAGUAUCAAGCUGAGUCAAACCAAGAUGAAAACCUUCUAAUAUCUAAUAUUAUAGACUUUUAACCAAAGGUAAUCAAAAGAGACAGGCUUCCCUGUAUGAGUAUCCUUCAUACUGUAUGAGUAUACUUCAUAUACUUCAUAUACUUCAUACAGGCUUUCCUGUAUGAGUAUGCUUCAUACUCAUCAAAAGAAAAAUCUACUGAGAUGAUAUCUCAAUUCUGAACAUCUAUGUUUCAAACACAAGGACAACCACGUUUGUAAAAGAACACUAUUAAAGCUUAAAGCAUACACCAAACCCCAUAGAUUAUUAAUGGGAGACUUCAACACUUCUCUUUCACCAAUCUACAGGUCAUCCAGACAAAAACUAAAUGGAGAAAUAAUAAAAAUAACAGAUGUUAUCAAUCAAAUGGACCUAAGCAAUAUGUGUAGAAUAUUUCACCCCAAAUCAAGAGCAUGUAACUUUUUCUCAUCACCUUCUGGAACUUUCUCCAAAAUUGACCAUAUUGUUGGUCACAAAGAAAGCCUCUUCAGAUACAAAAAAUUUGAAAUGACCCCUUGCAUCCUAUCAGAACACAGUAGGUUAAAGGUGGACUUCAAUAACAACAGAAAAACCAGAAAGCAUACACACUCAUGGGAACUGAACAACUCUCUACUCAAUGAUCUCUGGGUCAAGGAAGAAAUAAAGAAAUUAAAGACGUUCUAGAAUUCAAUGAAAAUGAAAGCACAACAUACCUGAAAUUUAAGGGGCACAAUAAAAGUGCUGCUAAGAGGAAAGUUCAUACCUCUAAUGGCCUCCCUAGAGAAAUUAGAAAGCCCUCAUUCUAAAAAUUUAAAACUACAUCUGAAAGCUCUAGUAAAAGAGGCAAACGCACACAAAAGGAGUAGACAGCAGGAAACAAUCCAAAUCAGGACUGAACUCAAUCAAUUAGACACC
rnacentral:lncRNA from 1 species